UACGAAGGGGGCUAGCGUUGCUCGGAAUCACUGGGCGUAAAGCGCACGUAGGCGGAUCUUUAAGUCAGGGGUGAAAUCCUGGAGCUCAACUCCAGAACUGCCUUUGAUACUGGGGAUCUCGAGUCCGGAAGAGGUGAGUGGAACUCCGAGUGUAGAGGUGAAAUUCGUAGAUAUUCGCAAGAACACCAGUGGCGAAGGCGGCUCACUGGCCCGAUACUGACGCUGAGGUGCGAAAGCGUGGGGAGCAAACAGG
rnacentral:rRNA from 1 species